CCUCAUCGCUGCCCCGCCCUGCUCCACCCCGUGCGCCGGCCUCCCCUGCCACGCCCUACGUCGCCUCAUCCCGACCCGCCCAAUCGGCCGCCGGCUCGCCUUGACCCCUCCCUGCCUUGCCGGCUUCGUCGUGUUGCAUUCCUUUGGAAUCAUCGUCAUCAAAGUAGUUGGUCCGUGAUCCUGCCACGAUUUGACUACUUCCUCUACAACCGUGGAUACCGGAGGAGGUGACGGAGCUGCAAACUUCGCACAGUUAGACUCC